GACGAACGCUGGCGGCGUGCUUAACACAUGCAAGUCGAACGGAAAGGCCCUGCUUUUGUGGGGUGCUCGAGUGGCGAACGGGUGAGUAACACGUGAGUAACCUGCCCUUGACUUUGGGAUAACUUCAGGAAACUGGGGCUAAUACCGGAUAGGAGCUCCUGCUGCAUGGUGGGGGUUGGAAAGUUUGUGCGGGUGGGGAUGGACUCGCGGCUUAUCAGCUUGUUGGUGGGGUAGUGGCUUACCGAGGAUUUGACGGAUAGCCGGCCUGGGAGGGUGACCGGCCACAUUGGGACUGAGGUACGGCCCAGACUCCUACGGGAGGCAGCAGUGGGGAAUAUUGCACAAUGGGCGGAAGCCUGAGGCAGCAACGCCGCGUGCGGGAUGACGGCCUUCGGGUUGUAAACCGCUUUCGCCUGUGACGAAGCGUGAGUGACGGUAAUGGGUAAAGAAGCACCGGCUAACUACGUG
rnacentral:rRNA from 1 species